CUUACAAAGUUUUCUUUUCUUUCUCUAUUCUGAAGAUUUUUCUCUGAUCUCUAAUUUACAAGAUAACUUCAAUGCUCUUUUUUUUUUUUUUUCAUUUCUAUCACCAAUUCUCACAAACUUGGUUUCUCAAAUCAUUUUUUUUUUAAUAAACUUACUCUCCCCAACUUAAAUAAAACCCUAUUUAGAAUAAAUUUUCUCCUAUAUCCUAUGACAAGAGGACAUGAAAUUUAUUUUUCUUUUAUUAGUUAAGGGUUAUAAUUUAAAAAAAAAAAAAAAAAAAAUCAUUUUAAGGCACAAAGGGGGUAGCAAUGGAUCACUAUCUCACAAGGUAGGUUUUAUUUGGUCAAAUAGUUUUUUUUUUUUUUUAAACAAUUUGGCCAAAUAGUUAACACUCUAAUUAAAACACGACCUUGAUCAUUUCAUUCCACGGCUUCAUACACAUUAAAUAAUGGCAAGAUUCCUGCAAAAUCAACUGAAUAAUAUGCAAUUGUAGUGCGUUCAUUUUUUGUAUUCCGAUUAAGAUCGAACUUUUCAUAUUUAAAACUCUAUUUUUAGACUAUAAAAAGAAGAAAUUUUCUUUAAAUAUGGAUUGUUCGAUUUUAAUAAGAUAACCGCAAAUGCAUCGACUACAUGAUUGCAUUCAAUAUGCAUCCCACAUAAUAGAAACCAACAUCAAUCACUAUUUUUUUUACGAACCAUAAAGUUAUUUGUACUUAAAUAAAUUUCUCAACAUGCACAAACUUUUUUCUUAUAAUUGAUACAAGAGUGACAAAGUUAGUAAUCAGUGAUUCGUAACUUUAAAGAUUUGAUCUAGUGGUAAAAGAAUAUGUCUUAAAUCCGUAGGUUUUGGGUUCAAGUUCCGUCUUUGGAUGGAGAUAAAUGUGAAAACUGAAAAGAACUCAUUUGGGUUAGUCUGGUGGUAUUGACUUAGGUUUAAGAGUAUGCUUCUUCUAGGUUUGAUUUUCUCCAAUACCAAUUUAGGUUGGCUAAUUGAGUUUUUUAAAGAAGAAAAAAAAAGUGUGAAAAGUGUAUUUGAUAUAGUUGGGUUUUCUUCCUGUGAGAGUCGAAUACGAAACCCAUUUUUUCUCUUCCCACUGCGCCUCCUUUAAACCCUAAUAUCUAUCUUCCUCCAACAAAACAACAAACACCAUUUACUUUUCUCUCAAAUUAAUGCUGUCAGUUUAAACUGUUUCCAUAUAGGUUGUUGGUCUUUCGUUUUCUGCUCUAUUUUUGCAGAUUAAUAGUAUAGUAUUUCAGUCAAAGAUAGCUGAUCUACAAAAAUCACUAGUUCUGAAUACACGAGGUUUUCUUCUUAAUUUCCCUUGUUUUGGCUAAACAGUUUUGUUGUUUCACAUCAUGAAAUAUUAAUUAAAUUGCUUUUAUUGUUGUUAUGACAGUUGCAAUGUUUUUGGUUGCUUAAGAUCAUGGAAUAUUGAUUCAAAAUAUUUAAUGAAUACAUUAUUAAGUGACAAACUUGAAAUUAGUUCUUAGCUCAUUCCAAGUUCUCUCACUGUGAUUAUUUCUCUGGUUUCUAAAUUGUGUUUGUGAUAUGUAUAGUUUCAUCAGGCAACAUGUUAGAUUUCUACUGCCACUAUCAUAGAAAGUAGAAACUGAUGUAAAAUUGAUUAUCACUUUUAUAUGUAGAUGCAUAGCUUGUGCAAUGAAUGUCAAUUAAACUGUGUAUGUGAAGGUGUAACAGAUAACAUGAAGAAUUAAUGGAUUCCAGUAGAAAUCAUCUUUUCUUUCUUUUGAUUAGUAGUAUUAGAUAUUUUAUCAGUGUGAAUCAAAGAAAAAAUAUAAAGUUAGGCAAACUAGCAUCUGUUUACUUUAUGAAACCAUUUUCUAUCGAAGGGAGACUAUUGAAGUGAACGUUAUGAUGGAAAGAAUGUGAAAUCCUAGCUAAGGAUGAUACAUACAUUUAAUUUUGGGUACUAGAGUAACAAAAUAUUAUCACGCAGCUAACAUAAGAGACGAGAAAAGAGGAACUUAACACAAAAUAUUUACGUGGAAACCCCUCAACAAAUAAGGGGAAAAAGCCACGUGGCAAGAGUAGAGAACUUUCACUAAGUGGAAGAAAUUACAAGACCUCUUUCUAAAUACAAGGAGAGACAAAUUAGUUUGGGUAAGAGUGUGGUGUCUCUCUCACUUUGCGUGGUUGCUAUGGCCUAGAUGUGGGCGGUCCCCAGGCUCCCCUCGUGACCCAACAUUUAAGGAAAUAAUGAAAUUGUAUUCUUUUCAAUUUUCAUUGUUUCUAAAAAUGGCACACAAUUGUUUACUUCAAGAGUUUAUUAUCAUUGUUAGCAAGUAAGCUAAGGAUAGAAUUAACGAUAGAAUUAGACAAUGAGAGGGAGCAAAAGGAAUCAAGGGAGAUAGAUCUCUAUACAUAAUUAGUUUUACAAUUUUGAAACUAUAAUAAAUCCUAAUACAAAUGGUAGAAAUUUAAGAGAUGCAUUUCAUGAUAUGAGGUUGAUAAUACAUAGUAUAUCACAUUCAUGAAUAGAUAUGAUCUUCUUUCCUAUAAAUUGGAGGUCUUGUAAAGUGUUGUAGCAUCUCAAACCAUAUAGCAAGAGAAGAAAGCAAGUGUGUGAUCAAUUGUGUGAGAGUUUCUUGCAAAUGAUAGUGUUUAAUUUAUCAUUUCUUGUAACUCUUAAGUAAGUGAGAGUACUUAAAUUUGUAGAGCGAUACGCAAUUCAGUUUAGUUGCUCAAGAUAUACAAGAAGUGUCUAACCACAUAAAUUUUUGUGUUCUCUUACUGUUUUCUUGGUGUAUGUAUUCUUAUCUAAGAUCUUUGGUAUGAUCUGCAGAUUUUCCCUAACAAAAUGGAAGAUCAAAGUAGUGAUUUUAUCACCAUUGUAAGGACGGUGUCUAUGAUAUGUUCACUACUCAGGAGCACCUGCCUGUGUGUUUAGACUCUGAUUUUAUUUGGCACAAACAUGUUCUGUUGAAGAUUUCCAUUUUUGUGUGGCGGUUGUUUCGCGAUCGAUUACCAACUAAGUCGAAUUUGGCGAAGCACAGUAUUAUUACUACAACAGAUUGAUUUUGUGUUGCUGGGUGCAGUCACGAGGAUGACGUUCAACAUUUGUUCCUCUCGUGUAGCACAUUUGGUACUCUGUGGCAGCUAAUGCGGUCGUGGAACGGUUUCGAUGGUGCGGAUUCUUAGGUGAUUACAACUCAUUUUCAGUAGUUUGUUUACUACAUAGAUAGUUUGAAAUCGCGGCGGUCUUUUCUUCAGUUGAUUUGGUUACUGUGUGUUUGGAUUGCGUAGAAUAAGCAUAACAACAAGUUAUUUAAGCAGAAAGAAAAUACUAUGUUUCAAUUAUUAAAAAAGUUUAAGUCUUAUUCUUUAUUGUGGCUUCAAACUAAGAAAGUCCAUUUUAUUUUUGGGA